CACGUAGGAGGCGAACGUUAUCCGGAUUUACUGGGCGUAAAGCGCGUGUAGGUGGUUUGUUAAGUAGGGCGUGAAAGCUCCCGGCUCAACUGGGAGAGGUCGCUCUAAACUGGCAAGCUAGAGGAUGGAAGAGGGAGGUGGAAUUCCGGGUGUAGCGGUGGAAUGCGCAGAUAUCCGGAGGAACACCAGUGGCGAAAGCGGCCUCCUGGUCCAUUCCUGACACUCAGACGCGAAAGCUAGGGUAGCAAACGGGAUUAGAUACCCUGGUAGUCCCUGAG
rnacentral:rRNA from 1 species